rnacentral:rRNA from 1 species
UGACGAAGUUAACACAUUAAGCACCCCGCCUGGGGAGUACGGUCGCAAGACUAAAACUCAAAGGAAUUGACGGGGGCCCGCACAAGCGGCGGAGCAUGCGGAUUAAUUCGAUGCAACGCGAAGAACCUUACCAAGACUUGACAUAUAGUAGAAAAGCGUAGAAAUACGCUCCCCGCAAGGCUGCUAUACAGGUGGUGCAUGGUCGUCGUCAGCUCGUGUCGUGAGAUGUUGGGUUAAGUCCCGCAACGAGCGCAACCCUCGUCCUAUGUUGCCAGCACGUAAUGGUGGGAACUCAUGGGAGACUGCCGGGGUCAACUCGGAGGAAGGUGGGGAUGACGUCAAAUCAUCAUGCCCCUUAUGUCUUGGGCUUCACGCAUGCUACAAUGGCCGAUACAAAGGGCUGCGAUACCGCAAGGUGGAGCGAAUCCCAUAAAGUCGGUCUCAGUUCGGAUUGGGGUCUGCAACUCGACCCCAUGAAGUCGGAGUCGCUAGUAAUCGUAGAUCAGCAACGCUACGGUGAAUACGUUCCCGGGCCUUGUACACACCGCCCGUCAAGUCACGAAAGUCGGUAACACCCGAAGCCGGUGGCCUAACCGUAA